UAUUGGACAAUGGGGGCAACCCUGAUCCAGCCAUGCCGCGUGUGUGAAGAAGGUAUUAGGAUUGUAAAGCACUUUAAGUUGGGAGGAAGGGCUUUAGGUUAAUACCCUGAAGUUUUGACGUUACCAACAGAAUAAGCAGCGGCUAACUCUGUGACAGCAGCAGCGGUAAUACAGAGGGUGCAAGCGUUAAACGGAAUUACUGGGCGUAAAGCUGGCGUAGGUGAUUCAGUAAAGUGGGUAUGAAAGCCCCGGGCUUAACCUGGGAGCUGCUUUCAUAACUGCUGAGCUAGAGUACGGUAGAGGGUAGUGGAAUUUCCUGUGUAGCGGUGAAAUGCGUAGAUAUAGGAAGGAACACCAGUGGCGAAGGCGACUACCUGGACUGAUACUGACACUGAGGUGCGAAAGCGUGGGGAGCAAAC
rnacentral:rRNA from 1 species